AGUGGAACCAGUUGAACCAUCAAUAUGAAGCUAACUCCAUUUGUCAUCUUACUUCUUGUUCUUGUUGCAGUGUGCAGCGUUGCUUCCCAAGGUACAUCUUCUGUAGUUACAGGAAACAAAGGGUUGAAAAUAAAAAAUACUGAUGCAUUUUUGAAGGUUCUGAAACAGCAGGGUCCGGUUCCAUCCAUAGCAGGAACACUAGUUUGAGAGCUACAGGGUAUCAACAAUUACAUUACGAAAUUAUGCAGGAAACAAGAUGAUUUGGAAUAAUAAUAAAUGAAACAAUA